GACUCCGUAACCAUGGCAACUCUGCUCCUCUUAGCACUCGCUGGUGUAUGCGCAGGGGGGGUCCUUCGAGAAGAGGCUCCUAGUCUUCCUCAUCUCCUCAGGGUGCGUCGCGGAGGCCUGGUCGGUUCUUACGGUGGCGGAGUCGGUUCCUAUUCGGGUCUCGCGGGCGGAGCUGGUGGCAG
rnacentral:lncRNA from 1 species